AAGGACCAAGCACUGCAAGUCUGAGCCAGUGAGAAGUACCAAACCAAACAACGUGAGCGACACAAGUGAGAUGCAGUGCACUUGCACAGCCUGUGGUAGGAGUAUGACUUUCACCAUACCAGAUUUAUCCAGCACAGAGGAGACACUCUUUAUCUGUCCUUACUGUGGGGAGAGUUUCGUAGGCCAGGAGUCCAGGAAUUCGGAUCAGGAAACCCAAAGAGGUACUUUUCCAAAAAAAAAUCUGCGCCAAAAGUCAACAAGUAAGGUCCAUGGUAACAACAUCCACAAAACCAAACAAACCAAAAGAUGUGGAGGCAUUGAAAAAUUAUGUGUAUGCAGCAAAGAAUGUGGAAAACAUGAGUAAUGUUUGGCUGCCGUGUCAGUUUCUUAUGCAUGGUCACUUCGCAAAGGACACUGAGAACAAAUAUGCUCAGGCUUUCAAAUGGGGCCUGUUCUUACGUUGGUGUUAAAAUUCUCUAAAUAUCUGGACAUAUUUAAUGUGGAACAGAGAAUGACUGGCAAGAUGAAACUUAAGUGUUAUGUAAAAUUAAUUUUACAGUGAAAUUUGCUUAAACUUGAGCAUGCAUUUUCAUGCCAAAGCAUUUUGCAGCCUUGCAAAUAACAGGACUGCAGAGAUUUGAAUAGAAUCCACAACUUUUCAGAAGGGCCUAUCUAAUGCCACCUGUAAAUACCAUGGAGUCGUGUAAACUAUAUCAUGUGCUAAAGGAAGCAGGACUAGAGUUAACACAGCGAAGAGAAGUACAUGUCUGCAGUUGCUAAGUUUUCUUGUGCAGAGUUCAAAACAUCUGGAUCCAGUUCCGAGGCUGAUUGGCUUUGGCUUGACCAUAUAUGCCAUCUCAGUAACUGACAUAUCUGUUGUUGAAUAUACUGUUAUAGUGGUUUGAAGAAACGGACCUGUAGAUUUUUACUACAACAAAUGUUUAACAGAUAUUCUUGUGUAAUUGACCAGGCUGGUAUGCCUUAAAAAUGUAGACAAUGAACAGAGUCUCCAAACAAAAUCACAGAAAUAAUGUAACAAUUAAAUUCUUGCAGUAGGGAGUUCCUACAGCUUUAGGUAGGACUGUUGCCCCAGUAUUCCAUAUAAUUUUUUAUUGGAUAGUAUUUUCUGAAAGUCCUAUGCAUGUGCAUCACUGGAAUUUUGCAUUUAGCUUGGAUUUCUCAAUUGGCUAGCAGUAAAUAUUUGUUUUUCCGUAUGGUGUUUUACAAACCUAUUCAUGCAUAGCAAGCUUGUAAUAUACAGUGGAACAUGUUUCCAACCUAAUUUUAGCAAAUAUUUUGUUUCUGUGAAUAACUUAAAAAACAUAGUUCAGAGAUUUUGCAGUAUAGUUUUACCUAUCUUGGGAGCAACUGUGUUCUUAAAAUUUUAAAGUGUAUCACAUUAUAUUUCAUUGAUAUUAGAAAGCAUAUCAACUUUGUGAAACAAAUGCAACAGGAUUAAAUCAUUUAUCUGAUUGUCUGUGUUUCUUGUUAGGAAGUUAAGCAUACUAAUCAGAUGUUGCUUAUUUUCAGCAGUGACCUGUAAUGGUACAAUAAAAAUAUCAACAUCA